rnacentral:rRNA from 1 species
UGGGCGUAAGAGCUCGUAGGCGGUUUGUCGCGUCUGCCGUGAAAGUCCGGGGCUCAACUCCGGAUCUGCGGUGGGUACGGGCAGACUAGAGUGAUGUAGGGGAGACUGGAAUUCCUGGUGUAGCGGUGAAAUGCGCAGAUAUCAGGAGGAACACCGAUGGCGAAGGCAGGUCUCUGGGCAUUAACUGACGCUGAGGAGCGAAAGCAUGGGGAGCGAACAGGAUUAGAUACCCUGGUAGUCCAUGCCGUAAACGUUGGGCACUAGGUGUGGGGGACAUUCCACGUUUUCCGCGCCGUAGCUAACGCAUUAAGUGCCCCGCCUGGGGAGUACGGCCGCAAGGCUAAAACUCAAAGGAAUUGACGGGGGCCCGCACAAGCGGCGGAGCAUGCGGAUUAAUUCGAUGCAACGCGAAGAACCUUACCAAGGCUUGACAUGAACCGGAAACACCUGGAAACAGGUGCCCCGCUUGCGGUCGGUUUACAGGUGGUGCAUGGUUGUCGUCAGCUCGUGUCGUGAGGUGUUGGGUUAAGUCCCGCAACGAGCGCAACCCUCGUUCUAUGUUGCCAGCGCGUUAUGGCGGGGACUCAUAGGAGACUGCCGGGGUCAACUCGGAGGAAGGUGGGGACGACGUCAAAUCAUCAUGCCCCUUAUGUCUUGGGCUUCACGCAUGCUACAAUGGCCGGUACAAAGGGUUGCGAUACUGUGAGGUGGAGCUAAUCCCAAAAAGCCGGUCUCAGUUCGGAUUGGGGUCUGCAACUCGACCCCAUGAAGUCGGAGUCGCUAGUAAUCGCAGAUCAGCAACGCUGCGGUGAAUACGUUCCCGGGCCUUGUACACACCGCCCGUCAAGUCACGAAAG